rnacentral:rRNA from 1 species
CCAAUAGCGUAUAUUAAAAUUGUUGCGUCUAAAAAGCUCGUAGUUUGAAUUUCGGGACCAUCAUGUCGGUCGUGCCUCGGUACGUACUGGCAUUGUUGGUUUCUCCCUUCUGACGAACCAUGAUGUCAUUUAUUUGGUGUUGUGGGGAAUCAGGACUGUUACUUUGAAAAAAUUAGAGUGUUUAAAGCAGGCUCACGCUUGAAUACAUUAGCAUGGAAUAAUGAAAUAGGACGUUUGAUUCUAUUUUGUUGGUUUCUAGGAUCGACGUAAUGAUUAAUAGGGAUAGUUGGGGGCAUUAGUAUUCAAUUGUCAGAGGUGAAAUUCUUGGAUUUAUUGAAGACUAACUACUGCGAAAGCAUUUGCCAAGGAUGUUUUCAUUAAUCAAGAACGAAAGUUAGGGGAUCGAAGACGAUCAGAUACCGUCGUAGUCUUAACCAUAAACUAUGCCGACUAGGGAUCGGAUGAUGUUAAUUUUUUAAUGACUCAUUCGGCGCCUUACG